AGGCAGCAGUUAGGAAUAUUGGACAAUGGGCGAAAGCCUGAUCCAGCCAUGCCGCGUGUGUGAAGAAGGCCUUUUGGUUGUAAAGCACUUUAAGCGAGGAGGAGGCUACUUGGAUUACUACUCUAGGAUAGUGGACGUUACUCGCAGAAUAAGCACCGGCUAACUCUGUGCCAGCAGCCGCGGUAAUACAGAGGGUGCGAGCGUUAAUCGGAUUUACUGGGCGUAAAGCGUGCGUAGGCGGCUUCUUAAGUCGGAUGUGAAAUCCCUGAGCUUAACUUAGGAAUUGCAUUCGAUACUGGGAAGCUAGAGUAUGGGAGAGGAUGGUAGAAUUCCAGGUGUAGCGGUGAAAUGCGUAGAGAUCUGGAGGAAUACCGAUGGCGAAGGCAGCCAUCUGGCCUAAUACUGACGCUGAGGUACGAAAGCAUGGGGAGCAAACAGGAUUAGAUACCCUAGUAGUCC
rnacentral:rRNA from 1 species